AGGGAAUCUUCGGCAAUGGACGGAAGUCUGACCGAGCAACGCCGCGUGAGUGAAGAAGGUUUUCGGAUCGUAAAGCUCUGUUGUAAGAGAAGAACGAGUGUGAGAGUGGAAAGUUCACACUGUGACGGUAUCUUACCAGAAAGGGACGGCUAACUACGUGCCAGCAGCCGCGGUAAUACGUAGGUCCCGAGCGUUGUCCGGAUUUAUUGGGCGUAAAGCGAGCGCAGGCGGUUAGAUAAGUCUGAAGUUAAAGGCUGUGGCUUAACCAUAGUACGCUUUGGAAACUGUUUAACUUGAGUGCAAGAGGGGAGAGUGGAAUUCCAUGUGUAGCGGUGAAAUGCGUAGAUAUAUGGAGGAACACGGGUGGCGAAAGCGGCUCUCUGGCUUGUAACUGACGCUGAGGCUCGAAAGCGUGGGGAGCAAACAGGAUUAGAUACCCUGGUAGUCCACGCCGUAAACGAUGAGUGCUAGGUGUUAGACCCUUUCCGGGGUUUAGUGCCGCAGCUAACGCAUUAAGCACUCCGCCUGGGGAGUACGACCGCAAGGUUG
rnacentral:rRNA from 1 species